GUCUGCACGCUCUCUGAGAGGCGUUAUAUGCUGCUACAUGCUGUGGCAAAUGGCAUUUAGACCAGGACUUUCUAAAACGCAAAGAAAACGCGUGGAUUUGUUACGCUGUCAGUACCUGCGGGCAUGCCAUCAGCCUGGACAACAACCAGAAUUUCCCACAGGACCAGAGCUGGUGAAGGACGCGAGGGAGAGCAGCUGCCUCGUGUGGGGUGGGUCAGGAGAGCUGGGACGCUUCGUCGGAAACUUUCUUGGCAUUUCUUGACAGAGGAGAAAGCAAGGAGAGUCUCACUGCCUAAGAGUGAAGUCAAUUGAGGCCGGCAAAACAAAUUCUCUUCCUUCAGAUAAGAGAGUUGCACUGAAGUCUUAGUCCUGAAGUUACACCAUCCCCUAACCACUUCCAUGCAUGCUGAAAAAUCAUUUGGGGCUCCCUCCGGAUGAAGUGUUUGACUCCAGCUGCCAACCCCAGCUGAACUUCAGAAAAAGAGGGAAGUACAUCGGCUAGCUGCGGGGAUGCAGAACCAAGUGAUGUGCAGGCUCCUGUGUGAUUCCCGCUUAUGCCACUGGAGGGGCUGAAGCAACCAAGCUUGUCUUCCUUCGUUUUUUGCUUUAAAUUUGCCCUGUAUCCCACCAGCAUCAGCAGAGAAGCUAGAGAUAGAGAUGAUCACACAGACGAGCUUGUCCUCUCUCUUUCACUGACUUUUAUCUUCUGUUCAAAGAGUUGCGUAGCU